UACAGAGGUGGCAAGCGUUGUUCGGAAUUACUGGGCGUAAAGGGCGCGUAGGCGGUCUACUAAGUCUUGUGUGAAAUCCCUCGGCUUAACUGAGGAACUGCACGGGAUACUGGAAGACUUGAGUUCGGGAGAGGGAAGCGGAAUUCCGGGUGUAGCGGUGAAAUGCGUAGAUAUCCGGAGGAACACCGGUGGCGAAGGCGGCUUCCUGGACCGAUUACUGACGCUGAGGCGCGAAAGCUAGGGGAGCAAACGGG
rnacentral:rRNA from 1 species